UCUUGAAGUUAAUCAGAGAAAUAUUCAUGCACCUGUAAAGGGAAAAACUUAAAAUGGAUAUGAGAAGUGAAGAAAGUGAUCAUAGGAGAAAAUCAUCUCAGAAUUCCUGAGAACAUUUGAUGUGCCAGCCAUUGUGCCGGGACAGGAACACAGCAAUGAAUGAAAG